UCAUGCCAGGAAUUCUCUGAGA
rnacentral:miRNA from 1 species